rnacentral:rRNA from 1 species
AUGAACGCUGGCGGCGUGCCUAAUACAUGCAAGUCGAGCGAACAGAUAAGGAGCUUGCUCCUUUGACGUUAGCGGCGGACGGGUGAGUAACACGUGGGUAACCUACCUAUAAGACUGGGAUAACUUCGGGAAACCGGAGCAAAUACCGGAUAACAUUUGGAACCGCAUGGUUCUAAAGUGAAAGAUGGUUUUGCUAUCACUUAUAGAUGGACCCGCGCCGUAUUAGCUAGUUGGUAAGGUAACGGCUUACCAAGGCGACGAUACGUAGCCGACCUGAGAGGGUGAUCGGCCACACUGGAACUGGGACACGGUCCAGACUCCUACGGGAGGCAGCAGUAGGGAAUCUUCCGCAAUAGGCGAAAGCCUGACGGAGCAACGCCGCGUGAGUGAUGAAGGGUUUCGGCUCGUAAAACUCUGUUAUUAGGGAAGAACAAAUGUGUAAGUAACUGUGCACGUCUUGACGGUACCUAAUCAGAAAGCCACGGCUAACUACGUG